rnacentral:misc_RNA from 1 species
GUAUUUAGUUCUACCCGUAAAAACGUCGCCAUAUUCAAGGAAGAACGGACGGGCUACGGAAAGUUUACCGUACCAGCGUUAGACUACAUUUUUUCAUAUCGAAUUUUCGUUAAAGUCAAUUGUCAAGAAUGAUUUCAUGACAUGGCUGAUUCAGGAAGUCAACCACCUAGAUGUCCUUGCGGAUUUUGGGGGUAAAAAUCUUGUUCAUAAAUUCUUAUCCUACUUCGAUAGGCCUAAACUAUUUAAUGUUUCAGUUCUGAGGCGACGGCCGGCCUUUGUUCGAAAUGUUUUAAAGGUAAAUUUUGUGCGGCAGCUGUACUUUUUGUAUAAUGGGCUUUUAAAUAGUCAUUUGUUGCAUUUCGUUGAUUUUUAUUAUGUUUUGUGCAUAGUGUGAAUAUCAGGUCGCGCAUGCGCUGUGAAUAUCAAUACGGAAAAUACUUCUUAUUAAAUUAUUUCAAAAGCCUGAAUUAUCAUGGAAUUAUAAGCAUUGUAUUAUAUAUAAAGGGAGAGAAAAAAAAUUAGUCUUUAAAAAAAGGGUAAUAGUAUAAUUAGUGAUGGAGUAUCAAGAGGAAUUCAACUAAACAUUCUAUAAAGAAAGCUUUUAAUUCGUAACGAAAAAACAAAUUUCAAAUACUAAAAAAUUAGCAUUCGCUUUGUUCCUUAAUUCGUUCGCAUAUUUUUUAAUCAAAGGAUACUAAAAAAUGCCACGCAAAUAAAGUUCGUUUAAGUACUUUUAACCUAUAAAAUAUGAACACUUGUUCUACUUUUAAAUGUAUAUUUAUACUUAGAGGCAAAUUAUAAUUCUUUUUCCUCUUUUCCUCAACCGCCUAAAAAAACCAGCAACCUAAUUUUCUUUUUAGAAAGUACUGGAUUUAACUCUUACCCGAAUACUUUGAGUGUUUCUAUUACACAAAGAGGGCAAUUAUGGUUUUUCUACUUUAUUCUCUUUCUUUUAAUGUAAUAAAACAUUUUCUUCAUUAUUUAUACAUUUAAAACAAGCAUUUAUGUUAAGGAUAUUAAAGUUUUGGCUAUUAAGAUUUAUCGUCUUUUCAAAGUAUUUUUGAUGAAAUGCUUUCGCGCUGCAACAAUAUGAUAAAACGAUAGAUUUUCUUUAAACGAUAUAAAUGUUUAAUAUUUUGCAUUUUUUUAAUCAGGAUAGAAGAAUAGAUCUUUAAAAAUAUCUGAUUUAGAGAGGAAGCAAUAUGUAGACUAUAUGCUUUAUAUACAUAUAUAUGUAUAAGUACAUUCGUAGAUAGACAAAUAGAUAGAUAGAAAAAAGUUUUAAUUAAAAGGCGUAUUAUUAAAAAUUAUUUCAUUUUUCUUUGUCUAAUAGAACGACAGGAAACCUCAGAACCAGCUCAAACGCCUAGAACAUGCAGCGAAGACGCUCUUCGCCCAACUUCUUCCGAUGUAGGAAAACGCCAUAUGGAAUCACCUCUAGGGGGUCAAAUGAACCCCGAAAAAAGAAUAAAACUAGACUGUAAUGUGUCCAAAGAAGAAAUUAAUAAUACCAAAGAAAAAGAAGAAGAGAAAGAAGAAAAUGAUAAACAAACCACUCAACAAAAAGAUGAAACAGGCGAGAAGGAUAAUAACGUAGAAAAUAAAUCUCUGGAUGAUUCAAAAAUUGGUGCUAGUGAAAGUAUACCAAGCACAACAUCAACAAAUCAGAAAGAAAGUGUAUUAAAAAAGCGUUGUAACGAAUGCCGUAUCAAACUGAACCCGGCCCUUCGAGAAAUUGGUAGAUGUAAAUGUGGGAAAGUAUUUUGUCAAUUACAUCGCCUCCCCGAACAGCACAUAUGCGAGUUUGACCAUAAAGAAGAGGGACGUAGGGAAGCUCGCCAAAAGAUGGUGAAUCCAGAAAAACAGAUGGGAAAUAACAUGGAGAGGCUCCAAUAAUUAAACUGAUUUUAGACAUUUUUCAUCUGCUCCAAACCGAACAAUUGGUUCACAGCCAUUCUUGCAUAUUGAUCCUUAAUUUUGUAAAUUAUCUUGUAUAUGACUUACGAGGAGAGGUAUAAUAACCUAGUAGUUACAGAAAAAAAAAUUUGCUAUAAAAAAAAAAGAAACUUUUAGGAUCAUUCAUUUUUGUAAAUUGUACAGAUAUCGUGUUUUCGGUAAUGUUAAAAAAAUUUUCAAUUUUCAGAAAAAUUCUAUGUAAAUUUGUUUAUUUAUGAUCUAUAAGCACAAGGUUUGCCUUUGGUCUCAAAAUUUUUGUUAGUUCAUUAAAUGUGUUGUGUGCGGCAGGUUACAACAAGAUUAACACACUAUGUAAAUUUAUAACCAUCUUGCUGUAUAUAUAUCUAAUUAUAUAUACACCCUAUAUUGUUGUACUUUUUGUUCUCAUUUUCAAAACUAUCAAUAUCUUUCUUCUUGAUAUAUACAAAAGGAUUGGUUAGAUAAAUUAAAUGGGAAAGGAAGAGAAAAUAUUCAACAUUGAAAGUUAAGGAUUUUCCAAUCGAAAAAUGUGCGUAUAUAAGAAGUAUACAUGUUAGUUGUAAGCAUAGGUCUUUCGAGAUGUAUAAAAGUAUAUUUUAUAUAUAUAUAUAUAUAUAAUAUAUAACAUAUAUAUAUAUAUAUAUAUAGAAUUUCUAUAGAGUAUUCUAAAUACUUUUUCUUUAAAACUAGACUUAUCAUUUGAGUUAUCUUUAAGAAAAGUUAAUUUUUUUGCCUUUUUUUUCUUUCUCUUUGAACUAUAAAUUAAAAUCUAUUUUAACCUGCUGUAAAUGAGAUAAAUAUCGAAAAAAGUUUAUUCAAAUACUAUGUAUAUUUUUUUUGUGAUACGAGAAGUGAUAAAGAGAAUCUUUAGAUAAAAUAAUACUUAAAAAAAAAAAAAGAGGAGAAACUUAACAAUAGAACAUCAAAUUGGUUAGAUAGUAUUAUUUUUUUUUUCCUCAAUGAAUUUACAAAGUUAUUGUUUUUCUUUUUCAUUGAUAAUAUCAGUUUAGUUUUUGUUUUCUCUCCAUUUCCUGGGAGAGAAGAGCGUUUGGAAAUUGUCAAUUUUUUGGUUGUUUAUUAUCAAUACGACGUGCAUUUUAAUCAAUUUUGUCGUUCUAGUUUUGUAACUCGUUAUAAUAUAAAUGAUUAUAAUUCUUGUUUUUCCUUGUAGAAAGAGAAAGAGAAAGAGAGGAGUCAACAUUUUUUUUUAUUAUUUGUUUCUUUUUUAAAUCUUGUAUAUUCUUUUUUUUUGUAUUUCUCUUUUUUUUGAUGUGACGGUGUUGGGAGUUGUCUGAAUGGGACCAAGUAAAAAAUAUAUUUUACUUGCCCAAGGCUCUUUAGAGACAAAAAGGUAAUAAAAACAAUACUAAAAAAAGAGUUAUUUUAUAUAUCUUGUUCUGCACUUUGCGGGACAAUAAUAUUGAAUUCCAAAGUAUAUUUACUCUCUUAUUUUUCCAUUUAUUCAUGUACCUGACAAAACGAUUUUUACACUCGAAUUUAUAGCCAUUCUCUUUAUUUAAUCUCUUUUUAACAACAUUAAAAGCAAAAAAGAUACAAUUCUCUAAUAAGAUACAUUCUAUAGUCUUUUCUCCUCUUUCUCACUCUUUCUCUCUCUCUCUCUCUCU